GAUGAACCGAUACUCGUUAAUAAGAAACCAGGCCUAAAGUGGUGCAGAAUUGUACUUAUUGUGAUAUUUUUCCUCGCUGUCUCUGUUGGUGCAGCAUUAAGUGCCCUUAAUACGGAUCAACUCUCAGAAUUACCAAAAAUAACAGAAAAUCUCAACAGUACUGUUGCAUUUCUACGAUCAGAAAUACAUAAAGACAUUUCGAACACAGCGACCAUAAUCAAAGUCAUAAAGGAAUAUUUGAUACCUUCCCCCAAAACUGAAUGUGUGAGUGAUUGUACGGCUGUAAUAGACGGAGAUUACCAAUCUUGUUUUACCUGCUUUGGGUUUGUGUCCUGUUCAAAUAACAUCACCGUUAAUAAAACAUGUGCAAAGUUUGAGGACGGACUCCUGAAAUGGGACGACACACGUAAAAAGUGUCAGUUCAACAGUACAACCUGUCAUGAUGAAAGUUAAUCUGUUUAACUUUAUUGCAGCCCGGAGGACCGCUCAUAUAAGUUUAAGUGUUGGUGUAUGGGGAUUUCAAUGGGAGUAGUUAUGUAGAAUUAAAGGUUUUCUAAACAUUGAAAAGAUUGUUAAUCAGAAUGUUCUUUCCGUUUAUAAAUUACGAGAAACAUAAUAUCUUUACUACCAUAAAGUGAAUCUGUAAAAAUAUAUAUGUUUUUCAUUUUUAAUAUAUAAAGUUGUUCAUCAUUUACUAUCAAAAAAACGACAGG